rnacentral:lncRNA from 1 species
GAAUAAUAAAAACAUUUAAAUCAUAUGGCAUCAUGGAAUGCAUCACAUCACAACUAAUCACAUCAAGGAUGAACUUGUCACCAAUAACCCUCUACAUAGUCCAACUGUGCCAGAACGUAGAAUGGGUCCUGGUCUUUCUCUUACAUAACAUAGCAUGUCAUAACAGUCCAACUGUGCCAGAACGUAGAAUGGGUCCUGGUCUUUCCCUUACAUGGUGCCAGCGAACGUAGAAUGGGUCCCACUGGUCUUACAUUCCGUACUGUACAUAUCACAUCGUCAUAUCAUAGAUCGAGGGCUUUGGAUCAUCCAACGUUCAUCCACAUCAAUCCACAAUAAAGUAUGCAAUGCAACAUAUUCGUGAAUUCUAAUGCAAACAACCUAGUACAUCUCAUGGCAUUCAUGAUGCGUGAAACAUGCUAAAAAGUCCAUCAUUUGCUUUAAAACAUAAUGAGAUAUUCCACUCACCUCUGGGUAGCUCUGACCAGACACUGGAGCAGCUGACUCACUGCUGCGGUCCUCGGUUCCUCGGGUCCGAACCUACACAGGUGGACUCAAAUGAGGGACCAAACAAACAUGAACAUAACUCUAAACUACUCCCCAAAAA